rnacentral:snoRNA from 1 species
CCGCCUUUUCUUGGCAGGCCUGGGUCUCCCAAUGCUCGGCUCUGUAAUGUCCGGAGGUACAGGAAUGCCCACCCAGUUUUCUGUCUUCAGUGCCAGCGACUUUGCCAUCUGCUGGUUCUAUCCUCAAGCACUGGGGCAAAA